rnacentral:rRNA from 1 species
AGUGAACGCUGGCGGCAGGCCUAACACAUGCAAGUCGAACGGCAGCACCGUAAGAGCUUGCUCUUACGGGUGUCGAGUGGCGGACGGGUGAGGAAUACAUCGGAAUCUACUCUUUCGUGGGGGAUAACGUAGGGAAACUUACGCUAAUACCGCAUAUGUCCUACGGGUGAAAGCAGGGGAUCUUCGGACCUUGCGCGAUUGAAUGAGCCGAUGUCGGAUGCGCUCGUUGGCGGGGUAAAGGCACACGUAGGCGACGAUCCGAAGCUGGUCUGAGAGGAUGUUCAGCCAGCUUGGAACUGAGAAUGAGUCGAGACACCUGCAGGAGGACGCAGUGGGGAAUAUUGCGCAAGGCAGGCAAGCCGAAUACAGGAAUACCGCGGAGGUGAUGAAGGAGUACUGGUUGGAAAGCGCUGUUGUUGGGAGAGAAAAACAGCAGGUUAAUACCCGACUGUAAUGACGGUACCCAAAGAAUAAGCACCGGCUAACUUCGUG